AGUGAUGAAGGUCUUCGGAUCGUAAAACUCUGUUAUUAGGGAAGAACAAAUGUGUAAGUAACUAUGCACGUCUUGACGGUACCUAAUCAGAAAGCCACGGCUAACUACGUGCCAGCAGCCGCGGUAAUACGUAGGUGGCAAGCGUUAUCCGGAAUUAUUGGGCGUAAAGCGCGCGUAGGCGGUUUUUUAAGUCUGAUGUGAAAGCCCACGGCUCAACCGUGGAGGGUCAUUGGAAACUGGAAAACUUGAGUGCAGAAGAGGAAAGUGGAAUUCCAUGUGUAGCGGUGAAAUGCGCAGAGAUAUGGAGGAACACCAGUGGCGAAGGCGACUUUCUGGUCUGUAACUGACGCUGAUGUGCGAAAGCGUGGGGAUCAAACAGGAUUAGAUACCCUGGUAGUCCACGCCGUAAACGAUGAGUGCUAAGUGUUAGGGGG
rnacentral:rRNA from 1 species